CGUAAACCCAUUUUCGUAUUUCAGAGUUUACUUUCUGAAAGGCAGAGAAAAAGGAAAGACAUCAACAAUGGUGGAUUUUUGUGUUCGUAUAUAAUGUGAUCAUCAUGCACAUGGCAGCCAUUACCAUUAGGUUGGCACCAACAUCCCCGUUUCAGUUCCUAUGCCCUUCAUCUCAUCUGGUGACCUUGAGACUCCUUUUGCAGAGAAACGGGAGCUCACUUUUAUACUAAAGUCAAAACAGUAACACAAUGCUGGAACGAAGUUCCGAUGGAUGAUGAAGUAGGUAAUCCAAUUUUGGCUUUAUAGCAAAAUUUUUGUCCAAUUGCUAGAAUAAGACGAUGACUCAAUGAUCUCAUAUUCAUAGGAAUGUUUACCUGUCUGAAACGUUGCACCCUUAAGUAGUUUUGCCUUUUAUUAGGAGUUUCCAUAUUGCCAAUAGUCAAGGAAGAGUUAGUGGUAAUCGACUCAAAAUGACCCGAUUUGAAACCUGCUGCUCUACCAUUUGUCUGGUCUAAUCUAACUGUGAAGAACGAGGAGUUUCUUAAUGGACUGUCGAGGAAAGCUACUUAUAUUAUCUUUUCAAUAGUUAGUGGUAUUUAAUCUGCGCACAUUUUAUUGUCUAUGUCAACAAGAAAUGAA